rnacentral:rRNA from 1 species
CACGCAGGUGGCUUGGCAAGUCGGAUGUGAAAGCCCCGGGCUUAACCUGGGAACUGCAUUCGAUACUGCUGAGCUAGAGUAUGGGAGAGGAAAGCGGAAUUCCCGGUGUAGCGGUGAAAUGCGUAGAUAUCGGGAGGAACAUCAGUGGCGAAGGCGGCUUUCUGGCCCAAUACUGACACUCAUGUGCGAAAGCGUGGGGAGCAAACA